rnacentral:rRNA from 1 species
AAGCGUAAUAGCUCACUGGUCGAGUCGGCCUGCGCGGAAGAUGUAACGGGGCUAAACCAUGCACCGAAGCUGCGGCAGCGACACUAUGUGUUGUUGGGUAGGGGAGCGUUCUGUAAGCCUGUGAAGGUGUACUGUGAGGUAUGCUGGAGGUAUCAGAAGUGCGAAUGCUGACAUAAGUAACGAUAAAGCGGGUGAAAAGCCCGCUCGCCGGAAGACCAAGGGUUCCUGUCCAACGUUAAUCGGGGCAGGGUGAGUCGACCCCUAAGGCGAGGCCGAAAGGCGUAGUCGAUGGGAAACAGGUUAAUAUUCCUGUACUUGGUGUUACUGCGAAGGGGGGACGGAGAAGGCUAUGUUGGCCGGGCGACGGUUGUCCCGGUUUAAGCGUGUAGGCUGGUUUUCCAGGCAAAUCCGGAAAAUCAAGGCUGAGGCGUGAUGACGAGGCACUACGGUGCUGAAGCAACAAAUGCCCUGCUUCCAGGAAAAGCCUCUAAGCAUCAGGUAACAUCAAAUCGUACCCCAAACCGACACAGGUGGUCAGGUAGAGAAUACCAAGGCGCUUGAGAGAACUCGGGUGAAGGAACUAGGCAAAAUGGUGCCGUAACUUCGGGAGAAGGCACGCUGAUAUGUAGGUGAAGUCCCUCGCGGAUGGAGCUGAAAUCAGUCGAAGAUACCAGCUGGCUGCAACUGUUUAUUAAAAACACAGCACUGUGCAAACACGAAAGUGGACGUAUACGGUGUGACGCCUGCCCGGUGCCGGAAGGUUAAUUGAUGGGGUCAGCGCAAGCGAAGCUCUUGAUCGAAGCCCCGGUAAACGGCGGCCGUAACUAUAACGGUCCUAAGGUAGCGAAAUUCCUUGUCGGGUAAGUUCCGACCUGCACGAAUGGCGUAAUGAUGGCCAGGCUGUCUCCACCCGAGACUCAGUGAAAUUGAACUCGCUGUGAAGAUGCAGUGUACCCGCGGCAAGACGGAAAGACCCCGUGAACCUUUACUAUAGCUUGACACUGAACAUUGAGCCUUGAUGUGUAGGAUAGGUGGGAGGCUUUGAAGUGUGGACGCCAGUCUGCAUGGAGCCGACCUUGAAAUACCACCCUUUAAUGUUUGAUGUUCUAACGUUGACCCGUAAUCCGGGUUGCGGACAGUGUCUGGUGGGUAGUUUGACUGGGGCGGUCUCCUCCUAAAGAGUAACGGAGGAGCACGAAGGUUGGCUAAUCCUGGUCGGACAUCAGGAGGUUAGUGCAAUGGCAUAAGCCAGCUUGACUGCGAGCGUGACGGCGCGAGCAGGUGCGAAAGCAGGUCAUAGUGAUCCGGUGGUUCUGAAUGGAAGGGCCAUCGCUCAACGGAUAAAAGGUACUCCGGGGAUAACAGGCUGAUACCGCCCAAGAGUUCAUAUCGACGGCGGUGUUUGGCACCUCGAUGUCGGCUCAUCACAUCCUGGGGCUGAAGUAGGUCCCAAGGGUAUGGCUGUUCGCCAUUUAAAGUGGUACGCGAGCUGGGUUUAGAACGUCGUGAGACAGUUCGGUCCCUA